UCAUUGCUGAAGAGUCCCACGAUAGGAUGAAACGGCCGUCCAUUGC
rnacentral:hammerhead_ribozyme from 1 species